rnacentral:rRNA from 1 species
UACGAAGGGGGCUAGCGUUGUUCGGAAUCACUGGGCGUAAAGCGCACGUAGGCGGAUCUUUAAGUCAGGGGUGAAAUCCCGAGGCUCAACCUCGGAACUGCCUUUGAUACUGGGGAUCUCGAGUCCGGGAGAGGUGAGUGGAACUGCGAGUGUAGAGGUGAAAUUCGUAGAUAUUCGCAAGAACACCAGUGGCGAAGGCGGACUCACUGGCCCGGAACUGGACGCUGAGGUGCGAAAGCG